rnacentral:lncRNA from 1 species
CCAGAACAUCUCAUCAACCAUCCCAGAAAUUUAACCUUGCCACCACAACCUUACCUAUUUCUGACGCAGAAUUGCUGAACGAAACCACCUCACCAUCUCCAUCCUGUUCUCCAGAAUCACCCCCUUACUAUAACAUUUCCUCAGACACAGAACACUCUGACCCCUCAUCUCCUACUCUAGCCCAACUCCAAACUCAAACUCUGGCCUCACAACAACCACCACAACCCACAUCUGAACCAGAAGUCAC